GCCUGGGUGGCUCAGUCGGUAAAGCGUCUGACUUUGGCUCAGAUCAUGACCUCACAGUUCGUGAGUUCGAGCCCCACGCUGGGCU
rnacentral:tRNA from 1 species